UUCGGAAGCAGGACUGUCCUGAAUACUUUGUAUAAGUAACGAAUACAGUGUUGAUUUUAAAGAUAAUAAAUAAACGCAGCUGUCUUCAGUUAUCAAAACAAUGAAUGUACGAGGAAGGUUCGUUUUCAGAGCAUUUGUAUGCAUCUUACUAAUGACCAUCUCUACAGGACAAGCUAAUAGGACCAAAAGAUCCUUCUUGAAUAUGUUCAGACAGAUCAGCCAUUUGUUUGACAUGGGUUAUACAUUUGGAAAUUAUCUUCGAGACUAUGGAUGUUGGUGUGGAGUGGGCGGAAGCGAAACUCCUCAAGACAACAUUGAUAGAUGUUGUAUGGUACAUGAUAGAUGUUAUGAUCAGAAUAGUAGAGAUGGGUGUAGCGGUAUUCACCUAGACGAUUACAGCUACGAAUGGACCAGUUUGUCAAUCCGAUGCACUAAUAGUCCUGGAUCUUGCGAUUACAAAAACUGCAACUGCGACAAGGAGUUCUUGGAUUGUUUGAGAAGUGCAAAUUUUCCACGGACCUUUUUACCUGGACUUCGCAACUUCAACAAAUGUUGAUAAAAAUGAACAAUCUGAUUGAGUACAUCAAAAUGCUUACUUAUAAUAAUCACUGAAAAAGAAUGUUUUUCGAAAUAAUUCUGAUGCUAUGUCUCAAAUUGUUUAAAAAGAUAUCGGGAUAAUAUUUCAUCAAUAAAAUG